AGAUCAGAUGAAGAUGUUAAAGGAGAGCAGACCUGGCACAGAUCUAACCACUAACCACUAACAACAAUACAAGUCCCUCGCACUUAAAUUAUGCACUUUCCAUCAGAAGAUUUCAAGGGCCUUUGCUGAACUGGAUAAAUAUAAUUAUUAAAGCUGGAAACUCCGUUACACAGGGGAAUUUAAUAUUUGAGGUCUGCCUGAGGGCAUAUAUAUGGUUAGCUGUUCUGUAGUGUAGACCUUGACAGUUGUGGAGUGGCUGGCCCUGGGGUGUCUGUCACAUUAGUCUAGGCACAUGGACACAGGCGGUCCUGGCUUGGGAGCCCUCAGCUGGAAAUCCUGGUUUCAGAUGAAGCAAAAUGAUGACCCAGCAGCAGGCUCAAAAGCGUCUUUCGGUUUGGUUCCAGGAAAUGAAACAGUUACAUAUUGAAAUUUUGCUGAAUUAGGAAAUAUUUGCUGGAAGCUUCAGUCGUUAUUCAUAGAAUGCAGUGGGGAAACAGACGCAGAGAGCUACUGGUUAGUGUGCUACUGGACACACGGGCUGUGAUUUAUCUGCCUUUAGGCAUCUAAAAGGGAAACAUCUAAGGUUCCUGUUAGAGUCAGUGGCGCGAGAGCAGCCCCUCCAGAGGGUUUCUCCUCUGACCUCUCUUGGUUUGGGUUGUAAUCACCCUCAGGCAGGGCUCUGUGACGGUGAGAAGACCUUAGGGUAAUUCACUCAGACUUAGGCAGCUGAUAUCCAGGUACCUCAGUCAGGAUGCUGGCAGCCUGUCCUGCUUCACCCUAACCACAGACUGACUGUUUCCCGGCUGCCUUCUGUGCCUGCAUGAGGAAAAGGGCUGGCUCUUCCCAUGGGGAUAGCGGCAGCCAACCCCACCAAAGAUCUGCUCUAUAAAAAGCCAGCAACUGCACAGACAACACCUCUUGCUCGUACAUAUGUUGCAGUGCAACAACAUCCAGGAAGUUCUGCAGUUCAGCAUUUGCUGUUGAGAAAAAUGUGGCUCAGUUCAAAUAAGAUUUGACUGAGAGAAAUCCUAACACCAGGACGUCCUAUCAGCCCUUGAAUACAUGAAGAUGGUAUGAGAAGCAACAUGCACCCUUGGACCAUCCUUAGGCACAUCUCUCUGCAUUGAUCUGGAAU